GACGAACGCUGGCGGCGUGCUUAACACAUGCAAGUCGAACGGUGAAAGCGGAGCUUGCUCCGCUGGAUCAGUGGCGAACGGGUGAGUAACACGUGGGCAACCUGCCCCUCACUUCGGGAUAACUCCGGGAAACCGGGGCUAAUACCGGAUAUGACCUCCUUGGGCAUCCUUGGAGGUGGAAAGUUUUUCGGUGAGGGAUGGGCCCGCGGCCUAUCAGCUUGUUGGUGAGGUAGUGGCUCACCAAGGCGACGACGGGUAGCCGGCCUGAGAGGGCGACCGGCCACACUGGGGCUGAGACGCGGCCCAGACUCCUACGGGAGGCAGCAGUGGGGAAUAUUGCGCAAUGGGCGAAAGCCUGACGCAGCAACGCCGCGUGCGGGAUGACGGCCUUCGGGUUGUAAACCGCUUUCAGCAGGGAAGAAGCCGCAAGGUGACGGUACCUGCAGAAGAAGCACCGGCUAACUACGUGCCAGCAGCCGCAGUAA
rnacentral:rRNA from 1 species